UGAUGACGAGGCACUACGGUGCUGAAGCAACAAAUGCCCUGCUUCCAGGAAAAGCCUCUAAGCAUCAGGUAACAUCAAAUCGUACCCCAAACCGACACAGGUGGUCAGGUAGAGAAUACCAAGGCGCUUGAGAGAACUCGGGUGAAGGAACUAGGCAAAAUGGUGCCGUAACUUCGGGAGAAGGCACGCUGACACGUAGGUGAAGUGAUUUACUCAUGGAGCUGAAGUCAGUCGAAGAUACCAGCUGGCUGCAACUGUUUAUUAAAAACACAGCACUGUGCAAACACGAAAGUGGACGUAUACGGUGUGACGCCUGCCCGGUGCCGGAAGGUUAAUUGAUGGGGUCAGCGCAAGCGAAGCUCCUGAUCGAAGCCCCGGUAAACGGCGGCCGUAACUAUAACGGUCCUAAGGUAGCGAAAUUCCUUGUCGGGUAAGUUCCGACCUGCACGAAUGGCGUAAUGAUGGCCAGGCUGUCUCCACCCGAGACUCAGUGAAAUUGAACUCGCUGUGAAGAUGCAGUGUACCCGCGGCAAGACGGAAAGACCCCGUGAACCUUUACUAUAGCUUGACACUGAACAUUGAGCCUUGAUGUGUAGGAUAGGUGGGAGGCUUUGAAGCGUGGACGCCAGUCUGCGUGGAGCCGACCUUGAAAUACCACCCUUUAAUGUUUGAUGUUCUAACGUGGACCCGUAAUCCGGGUUGCGGACAGUGUCUGGUGGGUAGUUUGACUGGGGCGGUCUCCUCCUAAAGAGUAACGGAGGAGCACGAAGGUUGGCUAAUCCUGGUCGGACAUCAGGAGGUUAGUGCAAUGGCAUAAGCCAGCUUGACUGCGAGCGUGACGGCGCGAGCAGGUGCGAAAGCAGGUCAUAGUGAUCCGGUGGUUCUGAAUGGAAGGGCCAUCGCUCAACGGAUAAAAGGUACUCCGGGGAUAACAGGCUGAUACCGCCCAAGAGUUCAUAUCGACGGCGGUGUUUGGCACCUCGAUGUCGGCUCAUCACAUCCUGGGGCUGAAGUAGGUCCCAAGGGUAUGGCUGUUCGCCAUUUAAAGUGGUACGCGAGCUGGGUUUAGAACGUCGUGAGACAGUUCGGUCCCUAUCUGCCGUGGGCGCUGGAGAACUGAGGGGGGCUGCUCCUAGUACGAGAGGACCGGAGUGGACGCAUCACUGGUGUUCGGGUUGUCAUGCCAAUGGCACUGCCCGGUAGCUAAAUGCGGAAGAGAUAAGUGCUGAAAGCAUCUAAGCACGAAACUUGCCCCGAGAUGAGUUCUCCCUGAGACUUAGAGUCUCCUGAAGGAACGUUGAAGACGACGACGUUGAUAGGCCGGGUGUGUAAGCGCAGCGAUGCGUUGAGCUAACCGGUACUAAUGAACCGUGAGGCUUAACCUUACAACGCCGAAG
rnacentral:rRNA from 1 species